rnacentral:tRNA from 2 species
GGAGGGGUGUCCGAGUGGUCUAUGGUGCAUGCUUGGAAGGCUUGUGUACCGAAAGGUACCGGAGGUUCGAAUCCUCUCCCCUCCGCCA